AGCUGCAGGUUUGUGCUUGGCCAGUAUGCCGCCAGGCAGUGGUGAUCGCUGAGUUCUGCGUGAAGCCGGGUAUGGCUUGGCUGGUAGCGCUGGCAUCCAGGCCUGGGGAGCCCCUCCCCCCCCCACACACAGACAUCUGGGUCUUCCUCACCUUCCCUUCCCACAUCUCCUCGCUAAGAUUAGGGUACUGUCAUCUCCCGAAAGGUCUGCAAGAGUGAAGGGGCACAAAUUAAUACAAUCUUGCAAUAAGACAGAAAGGCCUUUGUAAACACUGGCUAAGAGUGGGCGGAUAACCAACAAGGACCUCCUGUACAGCACAGGGAACUCUGCUCAACGUUAUGUGGCAGCCUGGACGGGAGGGGAGUUUGCUGGAGAAUGGAUAUACCUAUGUGUACGGCUGAGUCCCUUCACUAGUCACCUGGAACUAUCACAACACUGUUAAUCAGCUAUUCCCCAACACAAAAUAAAAAGUUUUUGUUUUUUUUUAAGACUACCUCUGGGGAGUGGAAAUUCUUGGUGGCUCUUCCCUGGAGUCCCCCAUGGCAUUUGGAAGACAGGAGACCAGGUGGAGGGGACCCUUGGCAGGGUGGCUUCUGGUACAGAUGCCAACAGAGACUUAGCUGGGAAGCAUGCAGGUUUCUGGAAUUUCCUUCCCAACACGUGAUCAGGCUUCCUCUAAGUUAUGGUGGCCUUUUGGGUCAAACUCUGGACCCCUUUGAUUCUGCUGCUGUUCUGACAUUUGCUGCAAGGUGUGGAACUUUCCUUGCUUGUUCUGACUUGUGUUGGCGCUAACUUCUCUGUUCCUCUUGAUUCACAGCAAGAAAUCAGAGACAAGUAUUGGACAUUAGUGCUGCUUUAGUUUCUCUCACUCCUAUUCUCUGUCCCUCAACUCUCAACCCCCGCUCCCAACACACACACACACACACACACACACACUACCUGGUUCCCUGUAAGGAUGAAAUGCACUGAUCUGAUAUUUUCCAUUUUUAAGACUUGAAUUCAAUCAGAAUUUUAUCAUGCGUCAUGAAAACUAGAAAUACAUAUAUUAUGAUUUAUGGC
rnacentral:lncRNA from 1 species